UACAUCCUGCGAUGUUCGUUUCGGCUUUACGUUGUUUUGAACCAAUGGCUGUUUCUCGGGAGACCUAAAUUGUUACGAUGCUGACAUGCCCUCUAAAGGGGACUUCAAAUUCGUUUCUGCGGACACCCACCUUGCGAAAGCGAGGUUCAGAAACAUGUAAGUCGGACGGCAUAGGCGGGUUUUUA
rnacentral:other from 3 species